AUUGAACGCUGGCGGCAUGCUUUACACAUGCAAGUCGAACGGCAGCGCGGGCUUCGGCCUGGCGGCGAGUGGCGAACGGGUGAGUAAUGCAUCGGAACGUGCCCAGUAGUGGGGGAUAGCCCGGCGAAAGCCGGAUUAAUACCGCAUACGACCUGAGGGUGAAAGCGGGGGACCGAAAGGCCUCGCGCUAUUUGAGCGGCCGAUGUCGGAUUAGCUAGUUUGUGGGGUAAAGGCUUACCAAGGCGACGAUCCGUAGCUGGUCUGAGAGGGCGACCAGCCACACUGGGACUGAGACACGGCCCAGACUCCUACGGGAGGCACGAGUGGGGAAUUUUGGACAAUGGGGGCAACCCUGAUCCAGCUAUGCCGCGUGCGGGAAGAAGGCCUUCGGGUUGUAAACCGCUUUUGUUCGGGAAGAAAUCCUCUGGGCUAAUACCCCGGGGGGAUGACGGUACCGGAAGAAUAAGCACCGGCUAACUACGUG
rnacentral:rRNA from 1 species